GGCAGUGUGUCUGAUGAAAGAGUGACACUGUAAAUGUCAAAAUGAGCAAAUUGCUCCACUACCA
rnacentral:tRNA from 1 species